rnacentral:rRNA from 1 species
CCUACGGGCGGCAGCAGUAGGGAAUCUUCGUCAAUGGGCGCAAGCCUGAACGAGCAAUGCCGCGUGAACGAGGAAGGUCUUCGGAUCGUAAAGUUCUGUUGAAGGGGAAAAAGAGCGGAGAGAGGAAAUGGUCUCCGAUUGAUAUUACCCUUCGAGGAAGUCACGGCUAACUACGUGCCAGCAGCCGCGGUAAUACGUAGGUGGCGAGCGUUAUCCGGAAUGAUUGGGCGUAAAGGGUGCGUAGGCGGCCUGCUAAGUCUGGAGUGAAAGGUACCGGCUCAACCGGUACAGGCUCUGGAAACUGGCGGGCUAGAGAGCAGGAGAGGGCGGUGGAACUCCAUGGGUAGCGGUAAAAUGCGUAGAUAUAUGGAAGAACACCAGUGGCGAAGGCGGCCGCCUGGCCUGUUACUGACGCUGAGGCACGAAAGCGUGGGGAGCAAAUAGGAUUAGAUACCCCAGUAGUC